AGGACAUCGGCAAGUUCCAGGAAAGGGAAUAUAUAUAUAUAUAUAUAGAGAGAGAGAGAGAGGAAAGGAUGAGAGAGAGAUAAAGUGGAAAAUUAUGUAGUGAGUCAGACAUUGUCCACAAUUUUGAAAUAACAUCACUUCAGGUUGUCCCCGCCCCUGGGGAGGAGUAGAAGGACCUCAACCAACGUGAGACGAGGUGCAACCAAAAAUCAUAGGAGCAUUCUGAAGUAAAAAGAGCGACUCUUGCUCACAAUUAAAAUCUUGAUGUUUUAUUGACCUAAUUCUGAGUUAAAGUCAUGACGUUUCGGCCAGUCAUGAUUUCAACUCAAAAUUAAAUAAAUAAAUAAAGCAUUGUGGAUGAGAGUCGCUCCUAUUCCGGUCCCAGAGUCUGCAAGGACCAAUCAGGACUGUCAUGUGGAUGUUGUGACACAGUGAGUUGAACAUUGGCCAGCCAACUGUUAGAUGCAGUCCAUCACCAAGCUCUCUACAGCUGUCACCAAAGAGUGUGAUGAUUAUUCUAUCCAGGAGAAUAAUAUUUAUGACUAAGCUACUGUCUAAUGUCAAUGUUGUUACCAUAGAAAUAGAAUGAAUUGUAUUUCUAGGGUUGUUACCCUGUCUCAUUUUCUAAAGAUUCUCAGGAUAGGCCUGUCUAUUGUAGCCUGGUUGCUGUCUCUGUUCAGCCAUUACAUUCCACUCCUAGCCAGUCCUGUCAUUUGCCAACGAGACUAGCCUUUCGGCAAUCUUCAAAUAUGAACAUUCUAUCAUUAAAUCAGCUCGAGGAGAUCAGAGGAUUUGAUCCUGAUUCAGUAACCUUCACAGCUAUCGCCCAAUCACAAUGUUUAUGCAAAUUAGACGUAAUACAUGUCAUUGUAAACAUAAACACUGGGUGCGAGGAGAACAGAGGAUUCCCGUUUAUUGCAUUUUUAACACCAGCCGAUGUGAUCACAUCACACCAGAGGAGCUCUCGCCGUUCUAACUUCCCCGCCAGUUGACUCUGUGAACACUGUAGCCUAUUUUAUAUCCAGCAGGCCAGAGCAAGGUCCUUCUUUUCUCGAAUACAUAUAUUAUUUAAUUUCUCAAAAUAAGUGACCAAACUAUAUUGCUACUUCUGGGACACGCAUUGGGCUAGGCUACUGGUUCAACAGCUAGAAGAAGAAUAGGGAGAGGAUGGAAGACACAGAGAGGCCGGUAGAGAUGCCAGUGAGAUGCCAGCAAAGAUGAAUGAAUUGCACAAGAAAGGAACAGUGAAGACAGAGAAGACACAAGGUCCAACUGAAAUGUGACUUCUGCUUUAUCCCAACCUCCCAAAGACAACCAUAAAUACAGAGGUUGGAAAGGUUGAAGCAGGGGACUGUUACAUACAUAUAGAGGUUGGAGCAGGGGACUGUUACAUACAUAUAGAGGUUGGAGCAGGGGACUGUUUCAUACAUAUAGAGGUUGAAGCAAUGGACUGUUACAUACAUAUAGAGGUUGGAGAGGUUGGAGCAGGGGACUGUUACAUACAUAUAGAGGUUGGAGCAGGGGACUGUUACAUACAUAUAGAGGUUGGAGCAGGGGACUGUUUCAUACAUAUAGAGGUUGAAGCAAUGGACUGUUACAUACAUAUAGAGGUUGGAGAGGUUGGAGCAGGGGACUGUUACAUACAUAUAGAGGUGG